rnacentral:rRNA from 1 species
UACGUAGGGUGCGAGCGUUGUCCGGAAUUAUUGGGCGUAAAGGGCUCGUAGGCGGUUUGUCGCGUCGGGAGUGAAAUCCCCGGGCUCAACCUCAGGCCUGCAGUCGAUACGGGCGGACUUGAGUACUGCAGGGGAGACUGGAAUUCCUGGUGUAGCGGUGAAAUGCGCAGAUAUCAGGAGGAACACCAGUGGCGAAGGCGGCUUUCUGGACGAUAACUGACGCUGAGACGCGAAAGCGUGGGGAGCAAACAGG